rnacentral:misc_RNA from 1 species
GAUGAAGAACGCAGCGAAAUGCGAUACGUAAUGUGAAUUGCAGAAUUCAGUGAAUCAUCGAAUCUUUGAACGCAUAUUGCGCUCUCUGGUAUUCCGGAGAGCAUGCUUGUUUGAGUAUCAGUAAACACCUCAACUUCCAUAUCUUUUUUGAAAUGGGAGUUGGACUUGAGUGAUCCCAACGCUUUUCCUCACCGAAAAGUGGCGGGUUACUUGAAAUGCAGGUGCAGCUGGACUUUUCUCUGAGCUAUAAGCAUAUCUAUUUAGUCUGCCUAAAAAACAGAUUAUUACCUUUGCUGCAGCUAACAUAAAGGAGAUUAGUUCUUGUGCUGACUGAUGCAGGAUUCACAAAGACAGGCUUCGGCCGACUUUGUAAACUCGAUCUCAAAUCAAGUAAGACUACCCGCUGAACUUAAGCAUAUCAAUAGCGGAGGA